rnacentral:rRNA from 1 species
CAGAGGGUGCAAACGUUGUUCGGAAUUACUGGGCGUAAAGCGUGUGUAGGCGGUCCGCUAAGUCGGGUGUGAAAGCCCUGGGCUCAACCCAGGAAGUGCACUCGAAACUGGCGGGCUAGAGUAUCGGAGAGGUUGGUGGAAUUCUCGGUGUAGAGGUGAAAUUCGUAGAUAUCGAGAGGAACACCGGUGGCGAAGGCGGCCAACUGGACGAAUACUGACGCUGAGACACGAAAGCGUGGGGAGCAAACAGGAUUAGAUACCCUGGUAGUCCACGCCGUAAACGAUGGGUGCUAGGUGUCGCGGGCUUUGACUCCUGCGGUGCCGUAGCUAACGCAUUAAGCACCCCGCCUGGGAAGUACGGCCGCAAGGCUA